rnacentral:rRNA from 1 species
AGCGAACGCUGGCGGCAGGCUUAACACAUGCAAGUCGAGCGGCCGUAGCAAUACGGCAGCGGCAGACGGGAGAGUAACACGUGGGAACGUACCCUUCAGUACGGAACAACCAAGGGAAGCUUUGGCUAAUACCGUAUACGUCCGUAAGGAGAAAGAUUUAUCGCUGAAGGAUCGGCCCGCGUCCGAUUAGCUAGUUGGUGAGGUAACGGCUCACCAAGGCGACGAUCAGUAGCUGGUCUGAGAGGAUGAUCAGCCUCACUGGGACUGAGACACGGCCCAGACUCCUACGGGAGGCAGCAGUGGGGAAUAUUGGACAAUGGGCGCAAGCCUGAUCCAGCCAUGCCGCGUGGAUGAUGAAGGCCCUAGGGUUGUAAAGUCCUUUUAACGGGGAAGAUAAUGACGGUACCCGUAGAAUAAGCCCCGGCUAACUUCGUGCCAGCAGCCGCCGUAA